GACGAACGCUGGCGGCGUGCUUAACACAUGCAAGUCGAACGGUGAGGCGCCUUCCUUUUUGGUGGGUGUGGAUGAGAGGCGAACGGGUGAGUAACACGUGCGUAACCUGCCCCCUUCUUCUGGAUAACCGCAUGAAAGUGUUGCUAAUACGGGAUAUUCUGGGUCUGUCGCAUGAUGGGUCUGGGCAAGAUAUUGUUUCGGUGUGGGAUGGUCUCGCGUCCUGUAAGCUUGUUGGUGGUGUCAUGGCCUAGCAAGGCGGUUACGGGUAGCCGGCCUGGGAGGGUAGACGGUCUGACAGGGUGAGAGACACGAUUGGGACUGAUACGCGAGGCAGAAGUGGGGAAGAGGGCACAGUGGGGGCAAGUCUGAUGCGGCGACGCCGCGUGAGGAAUGGAGGCCUGCGGGGGGUGAACCUCUUUCGCCAGUGAAGCAGGCCUGCCUGGGUUGUGGGUGGAUUGACGGUAGCGGGAUAAGAAGCGCCGGCUAACUACGUG
rnacentral:rRNA from 1 species